UUGUCACACUAUCAUUAACUGAAUCCAUAGGUUAAUGAGGCGAACCGGGGGAACUGAAACAUCUAAGUACCCCGAGGAAAAGAAAUCAACCGAGAUUCCCCCAGUAGCGGCGAGCGAACGGGGAGGAGCCCAGAGCCUGAAUCAGCAUGUGUGUUAGUGGAAGCGUCUGGAAAGGCGCGCGAUACAGGGUGACAGCCCCGUACACAAAAGCGCAUGUGCUGUGAGCUCGAUGAGUAGGGCGGGACACGUGGUAUCCUGUCUGAAUAUGGGGGGACCAUCCUCCAAGGCUAAAUACUCCUGACUGACCGAUAGUGAACCAGUACCGUGAGGGAAAGGCGAAAAGAACCCCGGCGAGGGGAGUGAAAAAGAACCUGAAACCGUGUACGUACAAGCAGUGGGAGCCCCACCACCAAAGCAUUCUCUGGUGUUGAAGGCCCUGCAAAGCAGCAUCGCGGUGGCGGAGCGUCGUUUGCGACGCCCGACACACAAAACAAGCGGUGAGUGCUUUGGGGUGGGGUGACUGCGUACCUUUUGUAUAAUGGGUCAGCGACUUAUAUUCUGUAGCAAGGUUAACCGUAUAGGGGAGCCGGAGGGAAACCGAGUCUUAAUUGGGCGUUAAGUUGCAGGGUAUAGACCCGAAACCCGGUGAUCUAGCCAUGGGCAGGUUGAAGGUUGGGUAACACUAACUGGAGGACCGAACCGACUAAUGUUGAAAAAUUAGCGGAUGACCUGUGGCUGGGGGUGAAAGGCCAAUCAAACCGGGAGAUAGCUGGUUCUCCCCGAAAGCUAUUUAGGUAGCGCCUCGUGAAUUCAUCUCCGGGGGUAGAGCACUGUUUCGGCUAGGGGGUCAUCCCGACUUACCAACCCGAUGCAAACUGCGAAUACCGGAGAAUGUUAUCACGGGAGACACACGGCGGGUGCUAACGUCCGUCGUGAAGAGGGAAACAACCCAGACCGCCAGCUAAGGUCCCAAAGUCAUGGUUAAGUGGGAAACGAUGUGGGAAGGCCCAGACAGCCAGGAUGUUGGCUUAGAAGCAGCCAUCAUUUAAAGAAAGCGUAAUAGCUCACUGGUCGAGUCGGCCUGCGCGGAAGAUGUAACGGGGCUAAACCAUGCACCGAAGCUGCGGCAGCGACACUGUGUGUUGUUGGGUAGGGGAGCGUUCUGUAAGCCUGUGAAGGUGGCCUGUGAGGGUUGCUGGAGGUAUCAGAAGUGCGAAUGCUGACAUAAGUAACGAUAAAGCGGGUGAAAAGCCCGCUCGCCGGAAGACCAAGGGUUCCUGUCCAACGUUAAUCGGGGCAGGGUGAGUCGACCCCUAAGGCGAGGCCGAAAGGCGUAGUCGAUGGGAAACGGGUUAAUAUUCCCGUACUUGGUGUUACUGCGAAGGGGGGACGGAGAAGGCUAUGUUGGCCGGGCGACGGUUGUCCCGGUUUAAGCGUGUAGGUGUGUGUUCCAGGUAAAUCCGGUUCACUUUAACACUGAGGCGUGACGACGAGGCACUACGGUGCUGAAGCAACAAAUGCCCUGCUUCCAGGAAAAGCCUCUAAGCAUCAGGUAACAUCAAAUCGUACCCCAAACCGACACAGGUGGUCAGGUAGAGAAUACCAAGGCGCUUGAGAGAACUCGGGUGAAGGAACUAGGCAAAAUGGUGCCGUAACUUCGGGAGAAGGCACGCUGACACGUAGGUGAAGUGAUUUACUCA
rnacentral:rRNA from 1 species